GAAUUAAUAAAAAUAUAAAAUGUCGAGUGGAAAGAAGUUCCGCCGUCCGCCGCCUCUUCCUCUGACUCUACCGCCAAAUGAGGAGGAAUGGCGGAAUAAUCCUGUUCCCCUUCAGCCUGGAGACCUGAUGGGUCCUCCUCAGAUACCUCCGCUCUCCCAGCACAAUCUAAUGAUGAGUGAAGCUAUGAUGGUUCCGUGUAUCAAUGAUCUGGUAAUAUCUGAUGUUGACGAAGAGCAGAGAAAAAGGCUGGAGUUCUUCUUCAACCAGAAGAAGCAGCUGGGAGAACUCAAAUCGGAAGAGGACUUUGAGAAGAUAUCAGAGUUAGGUGCUGGAAACGGGGGAGUUGUGCAUUGUGUCCGACACAAACAAACAGGAACUGUUAUAGCAAAGAAAAUGAUUCAUCUUGAGGUAAAACCUGCGAUAAAAAAACAAAUCAUUACCGAACUGAGAAUCCUUCACGAAUGCAACUCACCUUAUAUAGUAGGUUUCUAUGGAGCAUUUCAUUCUGACGGAGAGAUUAAUAUCUGUAUGGAGUAUAUGGAUGGAGGGUCCCUGGACCUGGUUAUAAAGAAGACUGGCAGAAUCCCGGAGAAAUAUUUGAGAAAGAUUACAUUUGCAGUUCUUAGAGGUCUGCAGUACCUUAGAGAGAAACAUCAGAUCAUUCACAGAGAUGUGAAACCAUCGAAUAUUUUGGUGAACUCUGCUGGUGAAAUCAAAAUUUGUGAUUUCGGUGUUUCCGGUCAGCUUAUUGAUUCUAUGGCCAACUCCUUUGUUGGGACACGCAGCUAUAUGUCCCCAGAGCGGUUACAGGGGUCACAGUACAGUGUUGCAAGUGAUCUUUGGUCUCUUGGGCUCUCUCUUCUAGAAAUGGCAUUGGGUUGUUAUCCUAUUCCUCCCCCUGACCCAAACUAUCUAGCAAACAUAUUUGGACCAGUAUUCAUGGAAGAUCCAGCUAACAUGAUGCCAGUUCCAUCUCCUAGAACACCUAGAACUCCACAUACAGGCAGUAAACCCAUGGCUAUAUUUGAGCUGUUAGAGUAUAUAGUAAACCAGCCACCUCCUAGGCUACCCUCUAGAGUCUUCUCAUGUGAAAUGAGGGAUUUUGUAGAUAUCUGCUUAAAGAAGAACCCCGGUGAGAGACCAGACCUGGCAACUUUGAUGUCCCAUCCCUGGUUAAGAGGACUAGAACAGGAUGAUACGGAUGUGGCGGGCUGGGUUCAAGAAAUUAUCAGACUACCCCUUCCUGAACCUCUUCAAAUAUAAUUCUUAUACAGUAUUCAAUGAAUAUUGUUCAUUCCUCAUUCCUUAGUACACAGUAACCUUGUUCAUCCCCUAUUCCUUAGUACAUAAGCUUACCAAGCGUCCUCAUUCAUCCCUUAUUCAUUAGUACGUUAGCUUAUCCAGCAAAAUUUUUAUUCUUAUCCAGUAACUUUAUUCAUCCUUCAUUCCUUAGUACAUCAGCAUAUCCAGUAAAUUUAUUCAUCCUUCAUUCCUUAGUACAUCAGCUUAUCCAGUAAUUUUAUUCAUCCCUCAUUCCUUAGUACAUUAGCAUAUCCAGUAAUCUUAUUCUCCCCUUAUUCCUUAUCCCUAAUGCUCAUGACAGUAGGUUUUUCAUAAGCUAUGAAUUCGCAAUGUCAUUCCGCAGAAACUUUUGCUUUUUGACUAUAUUUUCAUCAAGGUUGUUAAAUAAGGCAGUAACUUAUGAUACGUAAUUUAAACAAUUAAUUUAAAUAUAUAAAUUGUGUACUGUGUUUGAAGUCAAUAUUCCACAUUUCACAAUCAUGUUAUAAAUGUAUUUUAAGAAUUGCAUUUUUAGUUCAUAGAAUCAGUAGCCAAAUAAUUACUUUUCUUAAUCUAGAUUGGUAUGUUUGUUAUUUUUAUCAUUCAUAUACUGAGAUUAGAAAUGUAUUGUGUUACGGUUUACCCUGUGUUAAGCUUUUAUUAGCCGAUUUUUCAUAAUUUAAAAUCUUUUUAUGUCAAUUUUUAUUUUUCUCCUUGUAUUGUUCAUGCACCGUCUUAUUAUGUUCUUGUACUGUUGAUAAACUGUUCAGUGUUCCUUUACUAAUCUUGUACUAUUCUUGUACUAUGCAUGAAUGCUUCAUGUACUGCUGAGUAGCCGUACAAGUCCUUAUUAUCAGUGAUUUUAUAAAAAAUAUCCUAUUUAUUUAAAAUAUUAUGUACUACUGUAAGUUUAAAAAUUUUAAUAUUUUAAAGGGUUUAUGCAUUUUUCAAAUGAAGGAAAGAUAAAAGGAAGGAGAACAGUUAAAAAUUUGUAUCCGAUAAUGUACAUUUGAUGGAAAGGACUGUAAAUUCCGAAAAUGUACAUUUGAUGGAAAGGACUGUAAAGUCCGAUAAUGUACAUUUGAUGGAA